rnacentral:rRNA from 1 species
AGGGUGCGCUAAUCUCUUAAAACCAAUUCUCAGUUCGGAUUGCAGGCUGCAACUCGCCUGCAUGAAGUCGGAAUCGCUAGUAAUCGCGGAUCAGCACGCCGCGGUGAAUACGUUCCCGGGCCUUGUACACACCGCCCGUCACACCACGGAAGUUGGGAGUACCCAAAGUAGGUUGCCUAACCGCAAGGAGGGCGCCUCCUAAGGUAAGACCGAUGACUGGGGUGAAGUCGUAACAAGGUACC